GCACUUUAAGCAGUGAAGAAGACUCCGUGGUUAAUACCCACGGACGAUGACAUUAGCUGCAGAAUAAGCACCGGCUAACUCUGUGCCAGCAGCCGCGGUAAUACAGAGGGUGCAAGCGUUAAUCGGAAUUACUGGGCGUAAAGCGAGCGUAGGUGGCUUGAUAAGUCAGAUGUGAAAUCCCCGGGCUUAACCUGGGAACUGCAUCUGAUACUGUUGAGCUAGAGUAUGUGAGAGGAAGGUAGAAUUCCAGGUGUAGCGGUGAAAUGCGUAGAGAUCUGAAGGAAUACCGAUGGCGAAGGCAGCCUCCUGGCAUCAUACUGACACUGAGGCUCGAAAGCGUGGGUAGCAAACAGGAUUAGAUACCCUGGUAGUCCACGCCGUAAACGAUGUCUACUAGUCGUUGG
rnacentral:rRNA from 1 species